rnacentral:rRNA from 1 species
CCUACGGGGGGCAGCAGUGGGGAAUAUUGCACAAUGGGGGAAACCCUGAUGCAGCGACGCCGCGUGAGUGAAGAAGUAUUUCGGUAUGUAAAGCUCUAUCAGCAGGGAAGAAAAUGACGGUACCUGAUUAAGAAGCUCCGGCUAACUACGUGCCAGCAGCCGCGGUAAUACGUUGGGGGCAAGCUUUAUCCGGAUUUAAUGGGUGGAAAGGGAGCGUAGACGGGAGCACAAGUCUGGAGUGAAAUGCCGGGGCUUAACCCCGGAACUGCUUUGGAAACUGUGCAGCUAGAGUGCAGGAGAGGUAAGUGGAAUUCCUAGUGUAGCGGUGAAAUGCGUAGAUAUUAGGAGGAACACCAGUGGCGAAGGCAGCUUACUGGACUGUAACUGACGUUGAGGCUCGAAAGCGUGGGGAGCAAACAGGAUUAGAUACCCCUGUAGUC